ACCAACAGGGAUUGCCCUAGUAACGGCGAGUGAAGCGGCAACAGCUCAGAUUUGAAAUCUGGCGUCUUUGGCGUCCGAGUUGUAAUCUGUAGAGGAUGCUUUUGGGUAGCCACCGGUCUAAGUCCCCUGGAACGGGGCGUCACAGAGGGUGAGAAUCCCGUAUGUGACCGGAAGGGCACCCUCCACAUAGCUCCUUCGACGAGUCGAGUUGUUUGGGAAUGCAGCUCUAAAUGGGAGGUAAAUUCCUUCUAAAGCUAAAUACCGGCCAGAGACCGAUAGCGCACAAGUAGAGUGAUCGAAAGAUGAAAAGCACUUUGGAAAGAGAGUUAAAAAGCACGUGAAAUUGUUGAAAGGGAAGCGCUUGCAACCAGACUUGUUGGCGGUGUUCCGCCGGUCUUCUGACCGGUUCACUCACCGUCUGCAGGCCAGCAUCAUCUGGGGCCGCCGGAUAAAAGCGAGGGGAAUGUGGCUCCCCCGGGAGUGUUAUAGCCCCUCGUGCAAUACGGCGAGUCUCGGGUGAGGUCCGCGCUUCGGCUAGGAUGCUGGCGUAAUGGUCGUAAGCGGCCCGUCUUGAAACACGGACCAAGGAGUCUAACAUCUAUGCGAGUGUUCGGGUGUCAAACCCCUACGCGUAAUGAAAGUGAACGGAGGUGGGAGCCUUUGGGUGCACCAUCGACCGAUCCUGAUGUCUUCGGAUGGAUUUGAGUAAGAGCAUAGCUGUUGGGACCCGAAAGAUGGUGAACUAUGCCUGGAUAGGGUGAAGCCAGAGGAAACUCUGGUGGAGGCUCGCAGCGGUUCUGACGUGCAAAUCGAUCGUCAAAUUUGGGUAUAGGGGCGAAAGA
rnacentral:rRNA from 1 species